GACGAACGCUGGCGGCGUGCCUAAUACAUGCAAGUAGAACGCAGUUGCGAACGGGUGAGAAACGCGUAUGUAACUGCCUCAUAGCGGGGGAUAACCAUUGGAAACGAUAGCUAAUACCGCAAACUGUGAGACGGACCUGCGUUGGAUUAGCUAGUUGGUGAGGCAAAGGCCCACCAAGGCGACGAUACACAGCCGACCCGGGAUGGUGAUCGGCCAACAUGGGACUGGGGAAACGCCCCGACUCCUACGGGGGGGCGCAGUUGGGAAUUAUCGGAAAAUGGCGGAAGUCUGACCGAGCAACGGCGGGUGAGAGGAGAAAGUUUUCAGGUCGUUAAAGUAUGUUGUUAGAGAAGCGGUAACUAAAGAAAAAGGAACGGCUAACUACGUGCCAGCAGCCGCGGUAAUUC
rnacentral:rRNA from 1 species